AAAGAGACUGAAAGGAAAGAAAGAGAAAGAGGAAAAAAAGAAGACGAUCACAAGUUUUUUUUUUUUUUUUUUUUCUGUUGUU
rnacentral:ribozyme from 1 species